GACGAACGCUGGCGGCGCGCCUAACACAUGCAAGUCGAACGAGCGAGAGAGAGCUUUGCUUUCUUGAGCGAGUGGCGAACGGGUGAGUAACACGUGAGGAACCUGCCUCAAAGAGGGGGACAACAGUUGGAAACGACUGCUAAUACCGCAUAAGCCCACAGGUCGGCAUCGACCAGAGGGAAAAGGAGCAAUCCGCUUUGAGAUGGCCUCGCGUCCGAUUAGCUAGUUGGUGAGGUAAUGGCCCACCAAGGCAACGAUCGGUAGCCGGACUGAGAGGUUGAACGGCCACAUUGGGACUGAGACACGGCCCAGACUCCUACGGGAGGCAGCAGUGGGGAAUAUUGCACAAUGGGGGAAACCCUGAUGCAGCGACGCCGCGUGGAGGAAGAAAGGUCUUCGGAAUUGUAAACUCCUGUUGUUGAGGAAGAAUAAUGACGGUACUCAACAAGGAAGUGACGGCUAACUACGUGCCAGCAGCCGCGGUAAAACGUAGGUCACAAGCGUUGUCCGGAAUUACUGGGUGUAAAGGGAGCGCAGGCGGGAAGACAAGUUGGAAGUGAAAUCUAUGGGCUCAACCCAUAAACUGCUUUCAAAACUGUUUUUCUUGAGUAGUGCAGAGGUAGGCGGAAUUCCCGGUGUAGCGGUGGAAUGCGUAGAUAUCGGGAGGAACACCAGUGGCGAAGGCGGCCUACUGGGCACCAACUGACGCUGAGGCUCGAAAGUGUAGGUAGCAAACAGGAUUAGAUACCCUGGUAGUCCACACCGUAAACGAUGAUUACUAGGUGUUGGAGGAUUGACCCCUUCAGUGCCGCAGUUAACACAAUAAGUAAUCCACCUGGGGAGUACGACCGCAAGGUUGAAACUCAAAGGAAUUGACGGGGGCCCGCACAAGCAGUGGAGUAUGUGGUUUAAUUCGACGCAACGCGAAGAACCUUACCAAGUCUUGACAUCCUGCGACGAUGCUGGAAACAGUAUUUUCCUUCGGGACGCAGAGACAGGUGGUGCAUGGUUGUCGUCAGCUCGUGUCGUGAGAUGUUGGGUUAAGUCCCGCAACGAGCGCAACCCUUACUGUCAGUUACUACGCAAGAGGACUCUGGCAGGACUGCCGUUGACAAAACGGAGGAAGGUGGGGAUGACGUCAAAUCAUCAUGCCCUUUAUGACUUGGGCUACACACGUACUACAAUGGCGUUAAACAAAGAGAAGCAAGACCGCGAGGUGGAGCAAAACUCAGAAACAACGUCCCAGUUCGGACUGCAGGCUGCAACUCGCCUGCACGAAGUCGGAAUUGCUAGUAAUCGUGGAUCAGCAUGCCACGGUGAAUACGUUCCCGGGCCU
rnacentral:rRNA from 1 species